AGCUCCAAUAGCGUAUAUUAAAAUUGUUGCGGUUAGAACGCUCGUAGUCGAAUGUUUGCUCGGACUGAACGGUCCUCCCUAGUGGUGCGUACUCAGUGUAGUCCGAGCACCUCUCUGGUUCGAGUGUUUGCAGUUGAGUCUGUUGCGCGUUGCCCAGAACUUUUACUUUGAGGAAAUGAGAGUGCUUCAAGCAAAUGUACGUUUUGAAUACGUUAGCAUGGAAUAAUCGCAUGGGACAGCAUCCUGACAUUGUUGGUUUUCGGGUAGAUGUAAUGAAGAUGGGGAUAGUUGGGGGCAUUCGUAUUUAACUGUUAGAGGUGAAAUUCUUGGAUUUUUUAAAGAUGGACUACUGCGAAAGCAUCUGCCAAAGAUGUUUUUG
rnacentral:rRNA from 1 species